UGGUUUGAUUCUGGCUCAGGAUGAACGCUGGCGGCAUGCCUAAUACAUGCAAGUCGAACGGAGUGAAGCCUUCGGGUUUCAUUCAGCGGCGAACGGGUGAGUAAUACGCAGGGAACCUGGCCAUGGCAGGGGGAUACACUCUGGAAACGGAGCAUAAGACCCCAUAGGCAGUAAGGCGGCAUCGCCUUACUGUUAAAGAAAGCUGAAAGGCUUUGGCGAUGGAUGGACCUGCGGUGCAUUAGCUUGUUGGUGAGGCAACGGCUUACCAAGGCGAUGAUGCAUAGCCGGCCUGAGAGGGCGGACGGCCACACUGGGACUGAGACACGGCCCAGACUCCUGCGGGAGGCAGCAGUAGGGAAUUUUCGUCAAUGGGCGCAAGCCUGAACGAGCAAUGCCGCGUGAGUGAGGAAGGUCUUCGGACUGUAAAGCUCUGUUGCCGGGGAAAAAGGGGAAAUGCAGGAAAUGGCAUUUCAUGGAUGGUACCCGGCCAGAAAGCCACGGCUAACUACGUGCCAGCAGCCGCGGUAAUACGUAGGUGGCGAGCGUUACCCGGAAUGAUUGGGCGUAAAGGGUGCGCAGGCGGUCUGUUAAGUCUGAAGGCAAAGGGAUGAGCUCAACUCAUUUAUGAUUCAGAAACUGGCAGACUUGAGGACAGGAGAGGGCGGUGGAACUCCAUGUGUAGCGGUAAAAUGCGCAGAGAUAUGGAAGAACACCAGUGGCGAAGGCGGCCGCCUGGCCUGUGACUGACGCUGAGGCACGAAAGCGUGGGGAGCAAAUAGGAUUAGAUACCCUAGUAGUCCACGCCGUAAACGAUGAGGAGCAGGUGUUGGGAGUGAAAUCUCAGUGCCGAAGCCAACGCAGUGACUCCUCCGCCUGGGGAGUAUGCACGCAAGUGUGAAACUCAAAGGAAUUGACGGGGGCCCGCACAAGCGGUGGAGUAUGUGGUUUAAUUCGAAGCAACGCGAAGAACCUUACCAGGUUUUGACAUCGGAUGCGAAGGCGCAGAGAUGCGCUGGAGGCUAUCAUCCAGACAGGUGGUGCAUGGUUGUCGUCAGCUCGUGUCGUGAGAUGUUCAGUUAAGUCUGGCAACGAGCGCAACCCCCGUGGUAUGUUACUAACGCAUUUGGGCGAGGACUCAUAUCAGACUGCCGGUGACAAACCGGAGGAAGGCGGGGAUGACGUCAAAUCAUCAUGCCCCUUAUGACCUGGGCUACACACGUACUACAAUGGCGUCUACAGAGGGAAGCGACCCUGAGAAGGGAAGCGAAACCGGAAAAGGGCGUCCCAGUUCGGAUUGAAGUCUGCAACCCGACUUCAUGAAGAUGGAAUCGCUAGUAAUCGCGGAUCAGCAUGCCGCGGUGAAUACGUUCCCGGGCCUUGUACACACCGCCCGUCAAACCAUGGAAGCCGGCAACGCCCGAAGCCGGUGGCAUAACCUUUUAGGAGUGAGCCGUCGAAGGCGGGGCCGAUGACUGGGGUUAAGUCGUAACAAGGUAACC
rnacentral:rRNA from 1 species